rnacentral:misc_RNA from 1 species
AGCAGCCGCGGUAAUUCCAGCUCCAAUAGCGUAUAUUAAAGUUGUUGCAGUUAAAAGGCUCGUAGUUGAAUUUCGGGGUUAGUAGGUUGGUCAUGCCUCUGGUAUGUACUGGUCUCACUGAUUCCUCCUUCCUGAUGAACCUUAAUGCCAUUAAUUUGGUGUUUUGGGGAAUUUGGACUGUUACUUUGAAAAAAUUAGAGUGUUUAAAGCAAGCUAACGCUUGAAUACAUUAGCAUGGAAUAAUGAAAUAGGACGUUCGAUCCUAUUUUGUUGGUUUCUAGGAUUGACGUAAUGAUUAAUAGGGAUAGUUGGGGGCAUUAGUAUUCAAUUGUCAGAGGUGAAAUUCUUGGAUUUAUUGAAGACUAACUACUGCGAAAGCAUUUGCCAAGGAUGUUUUCAUUAAUCAAGAACGAAAGUUAGGGGAUCGAAGACGAUCAGAUACCGUCGUAGUCUUAACCAUAAACUAUGCCGACUAGGGAUCGGAUGAUGUUAAUUUUUUAAUGACUCAUUCGGCGCCUUA